UGGGGAAUAUUGCACAAUGGGCGAAAGCCUGAUGCAGCAACGCCGCGUGAGGGACGAAGGCCUUCGGGUUGUAAACCUCUUUUAGUAGGGAAGAAGCGAAAGUGACGGUACCUGCAGAAAAAGCACCGGCUAACUACGUGCCAGCAGCCGCGGUAAUACGUAGGGUGCAAGCGUUGUCCGGAAUUAUUGGGCGUAAAGAGCUCGUAGGCGGUUUGUCGCGUCUGCUGUGAAAACCCGAGGCUCAACCUCGGGCCUGCAGUGGGUACGGGCAGACUAGAGUGCGGUAGGGGAGAUUGGAAUUCCUGGUGUAGCGGUGGAAUGCGCAGAUAUCAGGAGGAACACCAAUGGCGAAGGCAGAUCUCUGGGCCGUAACUGACGCUGAGGAGCGAAAGCAUGGGGAGCGAACAGGAUUAGAUACCCUGGUAGUCCAUGCCGUAAACGUUGGGAACUAGAUGUGGGGACCAUUCCACGGUCUCCGUGUCGCAGCUAACGCAUUAAGUUCCCCGCCUGGGGAGUACGGCCGCAAGGCUA
rnacentral:rRNA from 1 species